AUGCCGCAGAUUCCCCUCCUUCUGUGUUUCAUCACAGAAAGCUCUACUGGCCACCAGCCUCCACACGCCCUAGCGCCUAACACGGGCAUUAAAGGAGGUCAGUGGAAGGUGACUAAUGUGUCUAAAGUCAUACACCCUCCACGCCAGAGAUGGGACUACAGUCUAAAGUCAUACACCCUCCACGCAAGAGAUGGGACUACAGUCUAAAUUCAUACACCCUCCACGCAAGAGAUGGGACUACAAUCUAAAUGCAUACAUCCUUCCACGCCAGAGAUUGGACUACAGUCUAAAGCCAUACACCCUCCACGCAAGAGAUGGGACUACAUUCUAAAGUCAUACACCAUCCACGCCAGAGAUGUGACUACAGUCUAAAGCCAUACACCCUCCACGCAAGAGAUGGGACUACAUUCUAAAGUCAUACAUCCCUCCAUGCCAGAGAUGGGACUACUAUCCCAGUCCCUCUAUUCAGCCUCUCAUACGCACCUGUCUGAGUUCAGUGAGGUCUCUAAAGACAGGCUGCUAUCAUAUUAAAUGAACCCUAUGGUUCCAUAAAGUAUUCACAUUUCCCAUCUUUGCAUUUCAAUUUUAGUCUUUGUUCCUGCAUACUAGCUCCCUCUGUCUCCUUUGUGUUCUUCCUCAGCCCACCCUAAAACCCUUUCCUCUGAUCUCCUACAAGUUUCCUAUUUUUUCUUCUUCUCUUUUUUUGUUUGUAGCAAUGCAAUGAACAUCAUUUGCUCUCAUUAUGCCUUAUACAUUGCCAGAUAUAUCAUAGUCUUUCUAACAGUAUUAGAAGCUUCUUCUCUGGGGCAGGAGAUCCAUUGCUAUGACUGGGGAGGGAUGCAUUUGGGGUCAGGCUGGGAUGUGGGGGCCCCAGUGCUGGGGGGCAGGAAAGAUGUGAGACCUAAGAGGUGGGGAUGAUGCAGAGCAUGGCUAACAAGUAGAGUAGGCCCGGAGGGGUCGACCAGAAGUCCACCCCGGUUGCUGCCGGCAAGUGUUUCUAUGCACAGAGUUGCCCUCUUGUUGAGAGGCACCCCCAGACACUGUGCGUGCAGCAUGCCAGGGACAGGUGGGACACAGGAGGGCAUCCAGCACCUCACCUCAGAAUGCAGGGAGAGGUCACACAGACAAUAGAGGGAUGAAGACACUGGGACAGUCACACGGCACCAGCUCUAGGGGCUUAGAGUCAUGUUAAGACCUUAAUCCCAACAAAGAAAAAGAGAGCAGGACUGAAAACAAUCCAAGCCUAGUUAUAAAGACAAUUGAAGAAAUGAGGAGAGUUUGGCAAUGUUUGACCAUUUGUGCUGAUGAUAAUAAUAAUAAUAAUAAAACCCUUAUCAUGUCCA
rnacentral:lncRNA from 1 species